GGACGAACGCUGGCGGCGUGCUUAACACAUGCAAGUCGAACGGAAAGGCCCUUCGGGGUACUCGAGUGGCGAACGGGUGAGUAACACGUGGGUGAUCUGCCCUGCACUUUGGGAUAAGCCUGGGAAACUGGGUCUAAUACCGAAUAGGACCGCGCGCUUCAUGGUGUGUGGUGGAAAGCUUUUGCGGUGUGGGAUGGGCCCGCGGCCUAUCAGCUUGUUGGUGGGGUAAUGGCCUACCAAGGCGACGACGGGUAGCCGGCCUGAGAGGGUGACCGGCCACACUGGGACUGAGAUACGGCCCAGACUCCUACGGGAGGCAGCAGUGGGGAAUAUUGCACAAUGGGCGCAAGCCUGAUGCAGCGACGCCGCGUGAGGGAUGACGGCCUUCGGGUUGUAAACCUCUUUCACCAGGGACGAAGCGCAAGUGACGGUACCUGGAGAAGAAGCACCGGCCAACUACGUG
rnacentral:rRNA from 1 species